AUAUCUAACACUCCCCCUCAAGUUGGAGCACAGAAUCAUGCCCAACUUGUUACAUACAUAUCACAUGAGCCAUAGGACUUCACAUCUAAAUCGUAAGAGUGUCGUG